rnacentral:rRNA from 1 species
GAUGAACGCUGGCGGCGUGCCUAAUACAUGCAAGUCGAGCGAACGGACGGAAGUUUGCUUUUCUGAUGUUAGCGGCCGACGGGCGAGUAACACGUGGAUAACCUACCUAUAAGACUGGGAUAACUUCGGGAACCCGGAGCUAAUACCGAAUAAUAUUUUGUACCGCUUGGUUCAAAAGUGAAAGACGGUCUUGCUGUCACUUAUAGCUGGAUCCGCGCUGCAUUAGCUAGUUGGUAAGGUAACGGCUUACCAAGGCAACGAUGCAUAGCCGACCUGAGAGGGUGAUCGGCCACACUGGAACUGAGACACGGUCCAGACUCCUACGGGAGGCAGCAGUAGGGAAUCUUCCGCAAUGGGCGAAAGCCUGACGGAGCAACGCCGCGUGAGUGAUGAAGGUCUUCGGAUCGUAAAACUCUGUUAUUAGGGAAGAACAUAAGUGUAAGUAACUGUGCACAUCUUGACGGUACCUAAUCAGAAAGCCACGGCUAACUACGUG